AAUCUAUGUAUCAGACAUUUUUGAAUUAAAAUUUUAAAUCGUUCCCAAGCUUCAUAUAGUGUUUCAUCCUCCAAUUGCCGAAAAGAUGUGAAUUUAUUUCUAAGCAU
rfam:Gossypium raimondii Chr10_contig_397, whole genome shotgun sequence.